rnacentral:rRNA from 1 species
UACGGAGGAUGCGAGCGUUAUCCGGAUUUAUUGGGUUUAAAGGGUGCGUAGGCGGCCGAGUAAGUCAGCGGUGAAAUUUUGCAGCUUAACUGUAACAGUGCCGUUGAUACUGCAUGGCUAGGAUUUGGUUGCUGUGGGUGGAAUGUGUGGUGUAGCGGUGAAAUGCUUAGAUAUCACACAGAAUAUCGAUUGCGAAGGCAGCUCACAAAGCCAAGAUUGACGCUGAGGCACGAAAGUGUGGGGAUCAAACAGGAUUAGAUACCCUGGUAGUCCACACUGUAAACGAUGAUAACUCACUGCCGGCGAUACACAGUCGGUGGCCAAGCGAAAGCGAUAAGUUAUCCACCUGGGGAGUACGACCGCAAGGUUGAA